GAUAACCUUUAUGUCUGGUCAUUUACACAGGAAUAGUGACGGUUAUACUAAAAGUAGGCUGUUUUACUAUUACUCACUAAUGUAAUGCUAGAUCAAGAAAGUAAGUGAUGUGAAAUGAGUCUCUCCUUUAUAAGGUAUGUUCAUUGUAGUGAGAUGUGAGGGAGAGUGCUGUUGACCCAGGGACCCCUGGCUGGUUUGUGUGCGGGGCGCCUGCAGCAAGAGCGGGAGUAACCCGGGCCCUGAUGAGAAUCCCCCGUAAUUGGGACUAUCUGUGCUGUGGCCAUCUAUCCAUCCUGGGGCCUUGCCAAUGGCGUCCGUACCACAACAGCACCCAGAACCCCCGUCCCAUAACCUUCCUUCUUUCCUUCUUUCUUGUGUUAUCUCUUCUCUCUCCUUCCCUCUCU